rnacentral:rRNA from 1 species
AUGAAUUUUCCCAAAUUUGAUGGUAAGGAUGUCCGAAUCUGGCUGGAUGGCUGUGAUGCUUACUUUGCACUGUAUGACAUUCCAGAAAAUUUCAAAGUCACUUCAUUAACUCUGCAUUUGGAAGGGGAUGCAGCUCACUGGUAUCAUUCAUACAAAUUGUCAGUUGGCUGGGUGGAUUGGAUGAGUUUCAGAGAGGCUGUGCUUGCAGAAUUUGAUGUGAAUGUGCAUAGAGAAACAAUGAGAGCCCUACUUCUUCUGAAACAGAAGGGAACGGUGGAGGAGUACAAAAGGGAGUUCCUCCAAUUAAUGUAUCAGAUCAAGCUUUAUGAGCCAGCAGUCAGUGAGACUUUCUUGGUAACCAGAUUUAUGUUAGGGCUAAAGGAGGAGCUCAAGGGAGCGGUAGAGAUACAAUUUUCCAUAUCCAUCACGGCUGCAGCAGCUUUUGCAACAGUGCAGGAAGCCACCAUGGCU